GACGAACCGUGCGAACGUUAUUCGGAUUCACUGGGCUUAAAGGGCGCGUAGGCGGACGAGCGAGUCCGGGGUGAAAUCUUUCGGCUCAACCGGAAAAGUGCCUUGGAUACUGCUCGCCUUGAGUGAGGUAGGGGCAUGUGGAACUUCCGGUGGAGCGGUGAAAUGCGUUGAUAUCGGAAGGAACGCCGGUGGCGAAAGCGACGUGCUGGCCCUCAACUGACGCUGAGGCGCGAAAGCCAGGGGAGCAAACGGG
rnacentral:rRNA from 1 species